UCUAUUAUAGUUUAAAGAUUUAUCUACCUACAAGAUCCCAAGAUCCUAAGCGCACUGAGCCAUUUCUCAUCUCACUUUUUUUCUUUCCGAAGUAAAAGGUAAGUUGUACAUUCUAACUUCAUUUUAUGAUGAUUUGUAAAUGCUAACAUUAUACAAUGUUUUUGCAUCCUCUUACAAUGUAAAUGUGCAUGCAGAUUGGUAUUAUUGAUAUUCAGUUUCUUUUUAAAAUGAUUUAUAAAAAAUACUUGAUAUAAAAAGUAUAGUAAAAAUGUAGUAAAUUAUCAGCCACAUUGUCAUCUUUUCAAUAAGUUAUUGUCUACACAAUUCUAAGGAGUUUUUUUUUAGAGUAUUUUCUAUUUUUUUUUUUUUUUUACUUAGCAUAUGCACUAUAUCCUGCAUAAAAUGUUCUUAUAUUUCACAGGAAAAUGAGACCCAAAAGAGUUUCUCCUGAAAAGGAAGCCUUGUACUUCAUUGCUUCGGGGAAAGAUAAAGACACAUUCGAGAAAAAUUAAUGUGUGAAGAGAAAGGUAAGUUACGGCAUUCAAUUCUGCCAUCAGUAUGACUUUGCAAAACUUAAUUAAAAGCUAAGUUUGGUCUCUAAAUAAUGUCGAAUGGUUGGGUUUAAAAUGUGUAGCUAAAAACAACAGGCUGUUAAAAAAAACACAAGAGAAACAAAAAAACAUGAUUGAAUCAGUUAAAGGUGGAUUUAUAUCUGUUUUCCUGCCUGUAUUUAUGCUAGCUGCUGAUGUCCAAAUUAAACUCCAUUGUGUAGAUGUGCGAGUGAUCUUGAUAUUAUUUGUAUGUAACUGCCAGUUAGACUCCGGGGGCCUGUUUAACAAUGGAAAUUAUCAAUAUUCAGUGUCAUGAUACAUAUGAGUUUUGUAGUUUUGCACUUUUAGAUGUAGAUAUCGUAUUUGUUUUCCAAGCAGGGCUACCAUUUAAAACAGUUUAGACAACCUUAACAACUUUAUGAAUCUUUUCUCAUACUUAAUUUACACUUAUUUAUACCCAAUUUAUUAGGUUUUGGAGUAAUCGCCACAAAACAUAUUGAGCCAGGAGAAUUCCUACUGGAGUAUGUUGGAAGACACAUGGCUGGAUCUGAAGGAGAGACCCUGCUCAAAGACUACUCAGCUGAAGAUGCAGUUUUUUUUAUAUUUCUACUCCUUUCAGGGACAAUCUUACUGUGUUGAUGGCAGUAAAGCUACAGAAAAUCUCGGACGAUACAUAAAUGAUGACCACAUCAAGCCAAACAGCAAAAUUAAAAUAAUAAUGGAUGAAAAGAAAAUGCCACAUUUGUGUGUAUUUGCGUUAACAAAAAUCAAGCCAAUCAUACCAAAGAAAAAAUCAUACCAAAGCCUAUGGACUAGUAUGCAGGAGUGAUCCAGCUCUCAGAUUUCAUAAAAAAUAUCUUAAUUUGUGUUCGGAAGA